rnacentral:rRNA from 1 species
UACGUAGGGUGCGAGCGUUUGUCCGGAAUUAUUGGGCGUAAAGAGCUCGUAGGCGGUUUGUCGCGUCUGCCGUGAAAGUCCGGGGCUCAACUCCGGAUCUGCGGUGGGUACGGGCAGACUAGAGUGAUGUAGGGGAGACUGGAAUUCCUGGUGUAGCGGUGGAAUGCGCAGAUAUCAGGAGGAACACCGGUGGCGAAGGCGGGUUUCUGGGCAGUAACUGACGCUGAGGAGGCGAAAGCGUGGGGAGCCGAACAGG